AAUGCUUGUUUGGGGUAUCUUCGGAUCGAGAUCACGAGAAACUGCGAUGAAAACAGAUAGUGUAUUCUGACUUUGAGAAUUAUUUCCCUAAAUAAAAGGCUGGAAUGAAGAGAUGAUGAGAAAACGAAAAGAAAAUAAAGCACCAGAUAUCAAUUUACGAAUGACGAGUGAAAUCAAUAUACAUUCAAGGUGUGGCUAUAGCAGUCCCAGGGUGUUUUUAUGCGACUACCGUCUGAGUCAAGAAAAGGAAAGUGGAAAGCAUUAAUGGAGCAAAAUGGGCGGACUGUUCCACCUGACUUGUUCCGUGGGACAGGCGUGUUUGCGGUAACUGUGUUGGAGAUUUCCAGAAAUCUCCUCUGUAAUUUGCCUUAAUUGAACAAA